ensembl:snRNA U2 U2 spliceosomal RNA
AUCGCUUCUCGGCCUUUUGGCUAAGAUCAAGUGUAGUAUCUGUUCUUAUCAGUUUAAUAUCUGAUAUGUCCUCUAUACGAGGACUACAUAUUAAGCCGAUUUUUAGCUCUGGGAGAUGAAAAAGGGGCUUGCUCCGUUCACUCCAAGCAUCGACUCGGUAUUGCAGCACCUCCGGGAACGGUGCACCCUUU